CACUGCUUCAGUGCCCUCCUUCACGUAAGCCAGCGGGAAUCACAGAGCCAGGUGGUAAGUGCUCUCACAGGUCUCUGCAAGGGCUCUCAGAGGACAGCCAAAGAGGGACAGCUCCGUGGGGGAUAGCUCCAUGCCUGACUCCAGGGGAACGCUUCCUGUGGGAGGUGGCACCUGAGCUCGCUCUUCAAGGAAAGGACUCACCACAUGCCCCUAAGGAUGGAAGAACAAACAAUCUGUGCAAAACCUGAAGGGCACCGGAAGCAGAGGACUGCCUGAUGGGGACCACAUGCCUCCCCCACCGCAGGCGCUUUGAUUCCUGCCCAGGCUGCAAACAUCCUGCUGUUCCUGCCUGCGCCAGACACCUUCCUUAUGCGGCAUUGUGUGUGGGAGACCCCAGCUACAUAAAAAGGCUUGUGAGUCCCGGGGCCAUCCCCUUCCCCCUUCCUGCAGGGGUGAUGCUAGAGAUCAAUGCCAGUGCCCCCACCCCGAGCCAGGCAGCCACACAGUGGCUUCCAGCAAGGAUCCUGCGGGGCCACACAAAGGAAAUGGCAAGAUAGUGAGUCACCCAGAGGCUCGCCUGCUGCCUGGGCUUCUGGCCCACAACAGGACCUUUGUGCUGCUCUCCAGGAGGACGAAGAGGACGAGAAGGACGGGUGCAGGGAGGCAGACACUGCAGGGCUCUGAGUAACGCUCAGCAAGGGAAGGCAUCUCCACGGGAAGCAGGGCCGACUUCUGGGUGCCUGCCACUGCAAAACCACUGGUGCAGGGACUCAGGCAAGACUUACCAAGUGCCCCUCUGCCGCCAUCUGCUCAUACUGCUUGUCCCCUGCAAAGAUGCAUCCUAUUUUGCAGAGGACUGUAUAAUUCACCAUGGUGUGAGGAGUGUGAGGCCUGGGGCAUGUCCUUUAAACUCCUCCUACAAUCUUCCUUAACAGCACCGAGAAGGUGCUGAGAGUUUGUGGGAAGGAUGGAUAAAUGGAUAAAUGGAUGGAUGGAUGGAAAGAUGGAAGGAAGGAAUAAUUCACUCAUACAAAUACUACAGCAUGUGGGGAGCUGGCCCAGUGUCCUCAUUUCACGAAUGUGGAAAUGAGGGCCCAGAGGUGGGAAUGGCUGGACCUAGGUUCCACAGGCGGUAGAUAACAGCUUUAGAAUCUGGGUGCCACGCUGCGGAGCCUGGGGUGCCUCACUGUGUAGCUGCUGCCGUGUGGCUCAGGGAAUACCAGGAGGGCAUGACUGACACGUGGACAGAAGUCAGGGUGGUGAGAACCCACAGCAUGGAUAAGACAACCAUGGAGGGCAAGGCCAAGUCUAGGGGCUUGCUGGGGAGUGAGGGGAAGAAACCAGGGCAACAGGAGGCAGGGUUCCAGGCCUUAAAGUGACCACAAUCUCUUCGCCUGGGCAGGUCAUAGGGUUUACCUAAGAUGGGGAAAGAAUGGGCAUUGUUGACACCCAGUGUGUGUCAAGCACAGACAUGCAAUCCUUUAACCCUGAGACAGGUGUCAUUACAGAUGACUAUGGGUCUUGACUUCCCCAAAUCACAUGGCGCCAAGUUUCCAACCUACUCUACUCUGAGUGCCUCCCCUUCAGACUAUUAACAACAGUGAGAUAAAGCCCGCUGAUCGACAAGGACUUGCUACGUGCCCAGCUUAUGACUCUUCCUGCUCUCUGCACCCCUUUCUAUACGUUCUCCCAUGUCAUCCUCAUAGCAUAGAUGAGAACCCCGGAGAUGUUCCUCGUCCUCGUUUUACAGGAGCCUGCCUUCUCUUGGACAGAAUUGCUGACCACAACAAGGCCUCUCUUCUCAGUACUUCCCACUGAAAAGCAGGCCCGGUGCACCUCACCUUCCAGACCCCUGGUGGGUGAACUCUUGUUCGCCCUGCGAGGUUCCCGUCAGACGCACCUCUCUGUUUGAGCCCUGGCCAGCUGUCCCAGACAAAGGGAGAGCAGCCACAGGCCGAUCCUGCAGUACGCACACUGCAGGCCCUGAGGUGCAGCAGUGGAGAACACAGGGGUGACUCGUCUCUUUCUGGAGCUUGAAGUCCAAUGGGACAAUAAAUAAAAGCAAAAAAAUAAACCAAAUUGUUACAGCUUCCGGUAACUGCAAAGAAAGAAACAGCCAGUGUGACGGGAUAGACAAUAACUCUGGGGGUGAUGGGGGUGUCGGGAAAGGCCUUUCUGGGGAGGUGGCAUUUACCCUGAGGCCAGAAGGAUGGGAUGGAGUCAGUUUUGCUAAGAGCUGGGAACAGAAGGUUCCCAGCAUAAGGAACAGCUUUUUGUUUCCAGGGAGGAAAAGAAUUUGGUGCAGCUCAUUGUUCACAAUGAGCAGAUGGAGUGGGUGGGAGGAAGCACAGCAGUCAGAUGCGGGCUAAGAGGCCUUGGUCCUCCAUGUGCCCACCCGGAGGUGCGACAGUGAGGACAAGACUUGUUACCAUUCAUAGAGCCUCUGCCAGGCCCUGUGUAGACGUUUUCUGUACAUUAUCUCACUUGAUCCCUGCCACCCCAGCUCACUACACAGUGUCUGUAUUCACCCCCUUGUCUUCACCCAGGACUUCCCUGCAGGGUUGUUACCCUGCACACACCUUCUCCGUCCCCACUAGACUGGACACUCCUCGUAAAGCGUCUCGGGACCCCAGUACAAGGCACUGGAACAGGGUGCUGCCAUGUCUAGGGAGACUCUGACAACACUCCUCUUUACCCAGUCUUGAGCAGGUCAGUUUCGGGGAGUCAGUAAAGACAUCAACACCAUUCAGAUAAAGUUUGUAGAAAACAGCAGGCAACUCAUUAUGAUGAUUUCAGAAAAACUUAUUUGAAUUGUAUUAGUAAGGCGUUCAUGAGUUUCGCUUAGGUCAGCCAGUCCUGGGUCACUCUGCACAGGGGCAGAUCUCACCCCUCUGUGGGAGAGUGUCUGCUACGAAGGAGGGCGGUCCCAGAACUGCCCCACCCCACAUGGAGUGGUGUGGUCGGUCUUACAUGCUGUACAAACACGCUGCAGAGAACAGGAAAAGUCCAUUCCCUUCAACACCUUCAUUGAGCAGCUACUAUGUCUAGACCCUGUGGCAGAUGUUCUGUUGGACACAAAAAUGAAUUCAAUGCCUUGUGCUUCUAUAAGGCCAUACUGCAAGACCAAUGCCGCAGUGGGAGUACAGGCAGCACAGUGAUGGGGCAUGAGGGGCACAGCAGGAGCCCUGUUGCAGAGAGCCUUGGAUGCCAAGGCCAAAGGCUUGGAUUUGAGCAUGAAAGUAAUGGAAGAAGAGGGAACCUAAAAUGUGGUUUUCAUUUUUAAUUCUUCUUUUGGAAGAAAGAAAUUGUAAAUAGCUCUAUUUGGAAAGGGCCACUCUGGGAGAAAGUGAAGAAAACAACUGAGAAUGGGCUUGGAGUAAGAAGCAAGAAGUAUGUCCAGAAGAAGGCACCUGUGAUGGAGGCUUAGGGAGGCUCAAGCCAUCCACAGUAUGAGCAAGCCCUGGGCCUGGGAGAAAGAGGGGAUCAGAGUGAGGUGUUGAGGAGUGGGGGUGGGGUGGGAGAAACAGGACUGUUGCUGUGGAGAUAUCAAAGUUGACCCAAGAGUCCAGAAACCAGGAACAACUAAGAUGUCAUAAUGAAUAGAAAAAUACUGGCCUUAAACUGGAAUCAGGUUCCAAUUCAGUCCCCGUCACAGGUUAGCUGUGCAACUUGGAACAAGUCACUUCAUUCUCCAAACCUAUUUUCUCAAUUGAACAGUGGGGAUUUACAACCUCCAAAUCUUGGCUAGAGGAGGUAAAAAGAUGUCGGUGCUCCCUUCACUGGAUCUAAGAAUCAAGGCCUUUCUCUAGGAGGUGAGGGAGAAUGGGUCUCUUCUCCCUCCCUGCAUGUCCCCAUCUUGUCAUCGCAUGACCUUGGGGAGAAGAUGGGCUUUACACUUUGUGACUCCAGAAGGUCUCUCUAGCUCUAAACUUCUAGACUUCUAGGGCGGAUUUUGAUUUUGUCAGAUUAAGUCGACUCGGGUCUGCACAGCGCCCAAAUGAACCUAUUCUCCUGCAGAAAAUUAUAGUCAGGUCUGUAAAUAAUACAGCCAUGUUGCAUAUUUACACGUACCUUAUUGAAUCUUGGCAGACUGUGCACCCUAUUCUGGUUUGAUUUUCAAAUGAAAACGUUAUUUAUUUCUUGAUGGCAGGCAGCAGGGAAAAGGCAAUUAUGUUAUCAUGGCCGUUAAAGACAAGUUAUGUAUAGUGUCCCUCCACUAGGUCUUCUUACCAUUCAUUCCCAACUGGAAAUUUCCCUCGCUGAAAUUUACCAGAGCCAGCAGAGGUGGUUUGUUUUGAAAGCACAACACAGAGAAGGAAGGAAAGGGCGGGUCAGAAGAAGGGGAGACCACCAAGUCACUUUUCCAGGCCUGUUGGAAAGGCAUCAGCAGCCCUUUGUAGGCUCUCUGACCAGACGGCAAUGGAACCAUAGUGACCCUAAGCCAGGGAUCGGCAGGCUGGUCCAGCACCUUCUGUGCAUGAAGCCUUGGUCUCCAAAUGAGCAAACCACAUAUGCCCUUCGCCCUCCAGUGAAUCUGGGGCCUAUCAGGGUUAGACCCAAAGGUUCUCGGGUUUUUCAAAUCACCAAAUCAGAGUUUAGGGAUCUAAAAUGGAGGCUAGAUGAUCCCAGCAUGAAGGAUAUAGUUUAUUUGCAGAACAGAUUCUCCUACCUGGAAAAUCUGUAAUAUUCUUUUCUGUCUGACUUGGGGACAAUGUUAAAGAAGAAUAGCUAGGUUCACAGAUGCCAUCCUCACAGUGACAGAGGGUGGGGGGCAGGGAAGACUGGCAUGAGGACCUAGAGGAUAAAAGCUACACCCCAGGGAGACUCAGAGACAGCAGCUCCGCAGGGACAAUCAUUUUAUCUUGAUCCUCAGGUGUCCAAGGAGGCCAGAGCGCACAGUGACUGGGAGGGAUGGCAGCCCAGACUGGGUUCCCACAAGGAGCAGUUCCACACCAAGAGCUAGUAGUUUACUUUCAGAAGUGAUCCCAAGAAACAGGAGUGAGAGGCUGGGGAGAGUAGACAGGGAAGAGGGAGAGACAAUCCAAUGUCAAUGGUUGACUUGAUCAGUCCAGUGCCAAAUGGGUACUUGACACCAGGGGCCCCUACUGAGUGGUGAGUACAGUCUUGAUCCACCACUGGCUCCCACAAGUCACCUGUUGGC